UGCUGGGGUCUGUGCUAGGGCCUAAUCCUCAACCCCAGAAAGACUGGCCUGCUCUCUGUGUCUCCCAUGUGGGAGCGGAAAGCUGGUCUUCAUUAAAACAAGAUGGGGAAGCCUAUGAGGCAACGGGGUGGGGUGCUUGCCCUUCUCGGUAACAGCCAAGUAAAUAGUGACCUAAGACCACAGUCAAGCCUAUCUAUAUUUCUCCAUAAUUGCUGGGUUCUGAGGUGAAGGGCAGGAAAUGUACUGCCAUGAUGAACAGGGCAGGUCUUCUUCCAAUGGCAAAGGACGGGUCACUCUAGCAAGGCAGGGUAGUGGAGAUGCUAGAGGGGCAGAAAGGCUAGGAAUUCUCCCCUUGGCAAAAAGGGAAGCCACGCAGGCUAUCUGAGCUGUGGUUAUUGAAGGCUGGGUCAUUUUUUUCUGAAAUAAACACCAGAGGCAGGCAGUAUAGGGUGAGCAAAUGAGGUGUGCAGGGCGUCUUUAAAGCAGAGAGAAGACCCAAGGGGUGAACUGCAGAAAUAUGAGAUUCACUUGCCUCAGUCCCCAGAGAGGAAGGGGUUACAAUGCAUCUCUGAGGCUGGGGAUAAUCCUUCAGGGGUUUUCAUCUGAGAAGGGAAAUGCUUGUGUUUGCUUUUGUAAGAUUAUGAUGGGCAGAAUACAAGGAUCCUGGGACCCUGGAACCCUGGUACUCUGGGACCCUGGGAGUGACUCCAUGAUGACUGAGACCCCUAAUGGACAUCUCGUGAAGCCUUGGAAUCUGGAUUCUUUCAUAUGACACUCAAAAACUCCUGUCUACUGAACAUCUGCUGGUCCACCUAGAAAUGCUAGUUCUUCAGGACGACACCAAAGGGACCUUUGUCAGGGAGAGGAAAAUCGCCUGGGUAUUCACCUGUGAAACCUUCUGCUGACUUCCCACGUGGUCUGUCCUGUUUGCCCCUUGUAUCUGCCUCCCGUCCCAGCUGCCAACUAGAUUCCCACAGAGCUCCUGUGUUCAUCCCUUUCUUGAAGAUCACUGCAAGGUGAAUCUGGGAUUCCCAUUCUCUGGUUCCACAGUCAGUCGACUAACUCAGGUCCCUUCCAUCAACUCCUCAACUUUACCAUCGCUUAAGGCACUGGAUUCACAUAGCCUCCCCUGAAUGGAUGGGCAUCCACUAGGUGAUAGACUAAGGCAUACAAACCCCCAUUUCCUCAAGGAAGUGUUUCCAGGCUGGCCAGGUUGUUGCCAGUGCUUGGAAGUCACAUUUCCCCUCUUCUACAGAAGCUGCUGGCUGUCAGUUCUGCUGAUCUGGGCCUCGGGGUGGGUCAGAGUGGGCCCAGAUGAGCCUAGAAUAGGUCAAGUAGACGCAGCAUGUGGCUGGGUAACAGCUGACGGCAUGUGAAAUGAACCGUGGUGUAGAGGAAACUGUGGAAUAAGCAUCCAUAAAGAAGCUGUGCUUAUUAAGGCUUAAUAAGGCUUAUUAAGGCUGAAUGACUGAUUAGAAGGUCAAUGGUUCUAGAUUGGGAUGUUGAGGGUCUCACUGCAAAUUAUCUUGAGCUAUCUUUUAAAUGGCCAUUUUUUGUACACCUUUGGCUUAACAAUCUUGUGGCUAUUAGGCAAAUCCUUUGGAAUACAUAAGUAAAUUCCUAGCUUCCUCAAAAGCAAAGAACAUCAUGAGGUAGCAUCUGAGGCCUGUAACAAAGCUUUCUCUUUUUGGUUAUAAGCCACCUAUCUUCAGUCCCUAUGAAUAUACUGGGAAAGUUUGAUUCAUGGCUUUUAUUUGUCCUGUAUUACAACUGCUUCACGGACUUGCUACCAUGCUGGAAUGCCUUAAUUAGGGUAACCUAAAUUUGCAUUACCAGUUACCACUCUCAUUUGGCUCGAUGAGGAGAGAUCAACCAGCGUUCAGGGUAGGUGGAAGUUUUGGGAGAUUGGGCUUCAAAUAGUCUACCUCAAUACAGGAACCAGGUCCCAGGGAGGCCGAGUGGACUUUUGGAAGCUUCUGGGAUGUGGGCAGAUAUCCAAGAGAUACUGGGAAGGACAGAGUAGGGCUCUAGCAGAGACAAGAGUUCAAGCCCCCAAGGGCCCUCAGGCCAAAGUAGUGAGCCGACACUCCACAGGGUAGGAUGACUAGAGGAAAAUUAACAAGCUGAAACCCACUGGAGGGGAAGAAGGGCCGCCGGCAGUGCUACUGUCUGAUGACACAGUUCAAGAAGGUAGUCAAAGUCCAGAGGGAAGGUGACCAACCAGACAAACAGCCAGGGACCGAGUGAUAAGAUCACUGGCCGACGUGUAGCAUUCCCGGUCCCUAGCCACACUGAGAAGGCUUCCCAGAAGCUCAGAGUCCUGGAUUACCUUUUACUUUAUUUAUUCCUUUUUUUUUUCUUUUCUUUUCUUUUUUCUCGGAGCUGGGGACCGAA
ensembl:lncRNA